ensembl:lncRNA
UUUUUUUUUAAAUUCUUUUUAAAUAGAAUUUCUUGGUAAGUAACACAGCACUGCAAAAUGUUUUCUCAGGUAACCUAAAAUGUGCAUAAUUGAAUUAUAUAAAUGGUCAAAUCAAAUACAAAUAGCACAUUCAAGUUAAAAGUUUCACACUUUUUGCGUGUGCACUGUACAGGUCUGAUAUAAAGAAUGUUUUUGCUCAGGUGGCUGAAAUGUCAUUCUCCACCCAACAGAGAAAAGUUUUGCUCAGCAAGAAAAAAAAGCCAAAAAAAAAAAAAAAGAGGAUAUGGGAGUUAUAGGGUUUGCAGGUGUUUUUCUUGUGUAUUACUUUUGAAGUUGUUAUGGCAUUCCAAUGCAGCUCUGAGAACUUUUUUUGUUUGUUUUGUUUUUGUUUUUUGUUUUUUGCUUGAAAACACUUUUCACCUACCUAACAAUAAAAACUUAAAGACAUCAAUCCAUCCUGUCUGAAUAUUUGGGAUCAUAAUGUGACGUGAUGUAUUCAUUCAGGGCUACUCAUUUCAAACUUUUUAUCAUUUUAAAGUUACAUUGUAAUGGAAGUUGCGACAGAUCUUUUCUUCCGUAUAGUGAUGUACAUCCAGGUGAAAAAGAUUAUUGCUUGUUCAGUCCAUUGGUUGUUGACUAGAUGGAAGCAGAUCUGAUGAGAGCUUGCUUGGUUGUAAGAAAGGGGCGGGGUUUAAGCAGACUUAAUGAUUAGAGAAAUCUGGCAUACAACACCAGAGAAAAGUCUGUUGAUUUGUUAAAUUAUUCCCAAUAGUCUAAUCUCUUCAUUUCAUAGCUUUUCUUUUGGUUGCGCUGGUUUCAGUAGUAUAUGUGUAUAUAAGAGCUUUUGUCCAAUCAUAUUUCAGCAAUCAUGUGUUGCCAGGGUCAAAGAAAUCUGGCUUCAGAAUCAACAGUGCAGGCACCUGUAGCUUAAAAUAAAUGGCAAUGAAACCAUUGGUCUAACCAGUCAAGUAAUGAGGUGGCUACAUCCCGUUUAUUUGCUGUCCUGUGGUCUGUGAUAACAGCAAAUCACAAUGGCUUAUUUACCAACAGAUAAAGAAGUAUGGGUUCAUUUUGAUAAAAUAUUUCUGGUAAGUAUUGAUGUGCAUUUACAUUUUUAAUAUCUUACUAAGCAAAAAGUUAACUUAUUGUGCAAGACUUUGAUUUGCCCGAAAAACUUUCGGUAUGUUUACCACCUAAAGCUAAUACAUGAACAAGAUGUUUUUGAUUUUUGAUUUAAGUAACAGUUAUGUGAAUCUAGAGUGUUUACGCUGCACUAAACUUUGACGAUCAACACUCUUAUCCACAAACAAACAGAUGAGGAAGAGGACCCCUGAUGAGGGUCCAGCAUAUACAAGUAGAAAGUAACCAAGAGAAGUAUCUUCGCUGAAGAAAUGUCAGCUGUUAAUCCUUAGACACCUGUGAACACCAAGCAGUCUCUUGAGUCCAAGACAUCAAGUGCAUCGUCUUUAUUAUACUUCUCUGACAUAACAGUUAGAGCUAAAGAGGAAGUUCAAGUAAUUGUCUGCAUUUACCAUUAUACUGUGUAAUUUUUUGCAACAACAGUGGGAAUCAUAACUGAAGAGACAAACUGACCAACAGGAAGCUUUGGAUCUGCUGAAUAUGUAUUUUUCUAGCAUUUUAUUGUGGUGUUCACUUUUAUUUUUCUGCACAAUGAUUUGCUCUUUACAGAAAUGAAAGCUCCCAAGUAAAGAACUCACCAAAUUAUGAUGUGAAAAGACAUGUUAUUUAAAACAAUGUUUAUAUUUAGCUUAAGCUUUACUUAAAUUUUACAAUCCAAGUUUAAGUAAAUGCAUGGGUAAUUUUGCAAAAUGUGUUAAAUAUUGUAUCUACACUUAGGCUAUUGUAUAACUGUUUUUUUUUUCUGUAAUUGCAUGUUUUUGUAAAUAAAUGUAUUAUUUUGUAAACGUUCCUCC